AGACCGAUAGCGAACAAGUACAGUGAUGGAAAGAUGAAAAGAACUUUGAAAAGAGAGUGAAAAAGUACGUGAAAUUGUUGAAAGGGAAGGGCUUGAGAUCAGACUCGGUAUUUUGCAAGCCUAUCCUUCGUGGAGAGGUUUAUUAGCAGCUUACCGGGCCAGCAUCGGUUUGGAUGGUAGGAUAAUGGCAUUGGAAUGUGGCUCUUCGGAGUGUUAUAGCCUUUGUUGAUACUGCCUAUCUAGACCGAGGACUGCGUCUUUGACUAGGAUGCUGGCGUAAUGAUCUUAAGCCGCCCGUCUUGAAACACGGACCAAG
rnacentral:rRNA from 2 species